AAAGCCCUCUGGGGGUCCCAGGGCUGGGGCGUCAGGUGUGGCCUGGGCCUGGGCGGAAGUGUAGCACUGCUGGGACCCAUGGCUCCUGGCCCCCCCUCCACCCAGCACUGGUGAGGGACCUCCUGUGGCGGUGAUGAGGCCGGGGAUGGACGGCAUUACCAGACAGUAUUAGACAGAAGGACCAGAUCUAACCGUGUCUGGCGACACACUGGCCUGGAGAGCUGACCAGAACAGCUUCUGAAGUUUUCUGGCAACUUCUACCCAGAGUUUGCAGGGAGAGGGCGUGAGCUCUGUGCUGAUCCCCCCCACCCUGGGCUGACCACAACAAAGACUGCAUCCACCUGGUCCCUGGCCUCAGCUGGGUUCACCUGGUUCUCUGGCUCCAUGCUCCAGAAGGGCUGACAUUUCUCAGAGGGCCUGACCAGACUUACGCCUGGCCUUGAGGGACAUGGGGCUUUCCUGGUGGCUCAGACAGUGAAGAAUCCGCCUGCAAUGCAGAAGACCCAAUUUGAUCCCUGGGUCAGGAAGACCCCCUGGAGAAAGGAAUGGCUACUCACUGCAAUAUUCUUGCCUGGAGAAUCCCAUGGACAGAGGAGCCUGGUGGGCUACAGUCCAUAGGGUCACAAAGAGCUGGACACAACCGAGCUACUAACAGUUUGCCUUUCUUUUGCCUUUGGGGGGCACACACAGGGAGGGGGCUUCACAGGUGCCUGGACCCUCCAGGUGACCGUGUCCAGGCUCAGAGAGUGGUGCCCUUGGCCAGGAUCUAGGCCUUCAACCUUCUGGCCCCAACCUUGCCUUUCAAUGUCCAUCCCUCAGACCUGUAAAGUCAGUUCACUUUUUUCUGAGCUAAGUGAAGCCAUUUAGACUUCACCUUCAGAGCUGAGUUAAAUUUCAGCUCCAAUCCCAGUGGCCAGGCCUUGGGGGCUGGAACUGGGCCGAGCAUCCCUCCUUGCAGCCAUCACUUGUUCCAGGUGCCUCCGCUGCCUGACCUCCAGUGCCCUUGGCUGCUCACAGCCAACCCUGCUAGGGGACCAAUGAGGGCCUGGGAGACCCCACAGGCCCUGGCCAGCCCACCUACGAGAGGAUGGAUGAGCUACUCCCGUUGUCUGCUCCCUACCAGCACAUUGAUUGUUACAUUUUCACUAGGAGGCAGAGAUGGGGGGCUGGUGGGCAGCAGAGUGCUCUCUUCUGAGCCCCAGGACAG
ensembl:lncRNA